UGGCAAAAAUACACGAGAGAAUUCGGACAAUCAAUGAAACGAUUUUUUUAUCACAAACGACUCUACCAAUUUUUAGUAUUUGCAACCGGGUUGAAAGUUUGCCCCCUUAGUUGUUUAACGUACCUGGAAGAGUCAGACUUGUCAGCCGGAUCAGAACAGUGUUUAUCCAAGAUUUUUCACCUCUGUUUUGGGACCAACUUCUGUUCCCUUUCAAAUCUACUGUUCUUCUCUUGUUCUUCUGUUUUUUAUCAUUUGCUCCGGAUGACGUAUCGAUGUUUAUUAUAGCUUCUGUUCUCACGGUCCGGCUCUCCCAC
rnacentral:lncRNA from 1 species